rnacentral:rRNA from 1 species
GACGUAGGGGGCCAGCGUUGUUCGGAAUUACUGGGUGUAAAGGGUUCGUAGGCGGUGUGGCAAGUCGGGGAGUGAAAUCUCUGGGCUCAACUCAGAGACUGCUUCCGAAACUGCUGUGCUGGAGUGUGGGAGAGGCGCGUGGAAUUGCAGGUGUAGCGGUGAAAUGCGUAGAUAUCGUAAGGAAGACCAGUGGCGAAGGCGGGUCUCUGGACAGUUCCUGACGCUGAGGCACGAAGGCCAGGGGAGCAAACGGG